UCGAACGCGAAAGUCCCCUUCGGGGGAUAAGUAGAGUGGCGUCCGGGUGAGUAACACGUAGGUAAUCUACCUUCGGGUGGGGAAUAACCCAGGGAAACUUGGGCUAAUACCGCAUAAUGCAGCGGCACCACAUGGUGACAGUUGUUAAAGCGGGGGAUCUUCGGACCUCGCGCCUGAAGAGGAGCCUGCGGCAGAUUAGCUAGUUGGUAAGGUAACGGCUUACCAAGGCGACGAUCUGUAGCCGGCCUGAGAGGGCGGUCGGCCACACUGACACUGACAUACGGGUCAGACUCCUACGGGAGGCAGCAGUCGGGAAUUUUGGGCAAUGGGCGAAAGCCUGACCCAGCAACGCCGCGUGAAGGAUGAAAUCCUUCGGGAUGUAAACUUCGCAAGAAUGGGAAGAAUUAGUAGGGGCUAAUACCCCCUAUGAUGACGGUACCAUUUGUAAGCUCCGGCUAACUCCGUGCCAGCAGCCGCGGUAAUACGGGGGGAGCAAGCGUUGUUCGGAUUUACUGGGCGUAAAGGGCGCGUAGGCGGUCAGCACAAGUCAGUUGUGAAAUCUCCGGGCUUAACUCGGAAAGGUCAACUGAUACUGUGCGACUAGAGUGCGGAAGGGGCAACUGGAAUUCUCGGUGUAGCGGUGAAAUGCGUAGAUAUCGAGAGGAACACCUGCGGCGAAGGCGGGUUGCUGGGCCGACACUGACGCUGAUGCGCGAAAGCCAGGGGAGCGAACGGGAUUAGAUACCCCGGUAGUCCUGGCCUUAAACGAUGGAUGCUUGGUGUCUGGAGUUUUAUAGUCUCCGGGUGCCGUAGCUAACGCGUUAAGCAUCCCGCCUGGGGAGUACGGUCGCA
rnacentral:rRNA from 1 species